rnacentral:rRNA from 1 species
AUACGGAGGAUGCGAGCGUUAUCCGGAUUUAUUGGGUUUAAAGGGAGCGUAGGCGGGAGCUUAAGUCAGCGGUUAAAUGGUGCGGCUCAACCGUGCCCUGCCGUUGAAACUGGGUUUCUUGAGAGUGCAAGAGGCGGAUGGAAUUCAUGGUGUAGCGGUGAAAUGCUUAGAUAUCAUGAAGAACUCCGAUUGCGAAGGCAGUCCGCUGGGGCACGUCUGACGCUGAUGCUCAAGGUGCGGGAAUCAAACAGGAUUAGAUACCCUGGUAGUCCGCACGGUAAACGAUGAUUACCCGCUGUCGGCGGCAGACAGUCGGCGGCCAAGCGAAAGCGAUAAGUAAUCCACCUGGGGAGUACGCCGGCAACGGUGAAACUCAAAUGAAUUGACGGGG